rfam:Oryza glaberrima chromosome 8 Oglab08_0176_3, whole genome shotgun sequence.
AAAAAGUCAAAUCCUAUGUUUCCGUGUCCAACUUUGACUGUCCGUCUUAUAUGAAAUUUUUUUAUAAUUCGUAUUUUCAUUGUUGUUAGAUGAUAAAACAUGAUUAAUAUUUUAUGCGUGACUUGUCUUUUUAAUAUUUUCAUAAUUUUUUCAAAU